rnacentral:lncRNA from 1 species
AGAAUGGAAGCUGCAUGUGGGCAUGGCUUAGUUUUGUCCACUGCUGGAUCUCAGCAUCCAAAACAGUCUACCACCUGAUGUCUCAGUAUACUGGCUCGCGGCACAUCGGGCAAAUGAACCUAUCAGAUAACAACGGCAGAUCAGAUGCCUGAGCAUUCAGAAGCAACAGCUGUGGAGCCCCCGUGGGUUCAGAAGGCCUGGUUCCCGUCUCCAGAAGCCUGGCUCUCCUCCCUCCUGGGCCCACUACUUUGGCUUCUUGUUCCUACGUACAAGGAGUUGCGAAGAAGGCAACUCUUCCCCUCCCUGAAGCCAAAGGAAUGAAACAGACUAGGGCGGGAGAGGUGGCCAUCCGUCAUUAGUUGCGGCCAUCAGUAACAGCAACAGGACACGGAACCUAAGGCUGUAUCCAUCCUGGGCCCCCAGGGAAACAUCAGCGGGAGCGGUACUAAGGAAGUGCUCAUCUCUUAGAGACAAAGGCCCAUGGAGGGGAACAGUAACCAUCCCCUCCCAAUUCAGAAAAUGUUAACAUAAGCACUUCAUUUCUCAUGCAGAUAACCACAUAAGUCUAUUAAUAAGAAAGAAAGAGAAAGAAAAAAAAGAAAAAGGAAUCCAUGCCAGCAGGGUAUAGGAAUUGGUCUAUAGGAGAAAGGGU